GGCUGAAAUUCGCCUUCCAUGAAGCCGGAAUUGCUGUAAUGGCAGGUCAGCAUACUGCCGUGAAUACGUUCCCGGGCCUUGUACACACCGCCCGUCACACCAUGAGAGUUGGGAAUACCCGAAGCCUGUGAGCUAACUAAUAGAGGCAGCAGUCGAAGGUAGAAUCAAUGAUUGGGGUGAAGUCGUAACAAGGUACC
rnacentral:rRNA from 1 species